ensembl:lncRNA VIPR1-AS1 VIPR1 antisense RNA 1
AAGGACUGUGCUCCCAAUCCGCUUACGCUCAAGGAAGAACUGCCUGGAAGCCCUCCCUGGUACCAUACCCCAGCCGAUGAGUAUGUACCCCCAGAAGUACUUCCGCUCAGAGAAGAAGGAGACGGCAAGCAGGGUGUACAGGAAGGCCCAGAACCAGCCUGCUGUCAGGAUCAGAACAAAAGAGGAGGACUGCAUAUGUAUGGACCCACUCCAGAUGGCACGGGGACGGGGGGAGUAGGAAAAGUGGCAUGGUGAGCAGAGCCCUGGCUAUGCAGGUGGCAGAUGGCAGAGUUGGAAGGAAUCUUGGAAUUCCUUGCACAGAUGGGGAAACUGAGGCUGUAAGUUCCCCAAGGCCACAUAGGAAGUUAGCAACAGGUGGGACAGG